rnacentral:rRNA from 1 species
UGCAAGUCGAACGCGUCUCCGUUGAUGAUUUUAGGUGCUUGCACUUGAAAGAUUUAACAUUGAGACGAGUGGCGAACUGGUGAGUAACACGUGGGUAACCUGCCCUUGAAGUAGGGGAUAACACUUGGAAACAGGUGCUAAUACCGUAUAACAACCAAAACCACCUGGUUUUGGUUUAAAAGACGGCUUCGGCUGUCACUUUAGGAUGGACCCGCGGCGUAUUAGCUUGUUGGUAAGGUAACGGCCUACCAAGGCGAUGAUACGUAGCCGACCUGAGAGGGUAAUCGGCCACAUUGGGACUGAGACACGGCCCAAACUCCUACGGGAGGCAGCAGUAGGGAAUCUUCCACAAUGGACGAAAGUCUGAUGGAGCAACGCCGCGUGAGUGAUGAAGGGUUUCGGCUCGUAAAACUCUGUUGUUGGAGAAGAACAGGUGUCAGAGUAACUGUUGACAUCUUGACGGUAUCCAACCAGAAAGCCACGGCUAACUACGUGCCAGCAGCCGCGGUAAUACGUAGGUGGCAAGCGUUGUCCGGAUUUAUUGGGCGUAAAGCGAGCGCAGGCGGUUUUUUAGGUCUGAUGUGAAAGCCUUCGGCUUAACCGGAGAAGUGCAUCGGAAACCGGGAGACUUGAGUGCAGAAGAGGACAGUGGAACUCCAUGUGUAGCGGUGAAAUGCGUAGAUAUAUGGAAGAACACCAGUGGCGAAGGCGGCUGUCUGGUCUGUAACUGACGCUGAGGCUCGAAAGCAUGGGUAGCGAACAGGAUUAGAUA